UGGCUACCGGGUGGACCGGAUGCCGAUCUCGAAAACCUGUCCCAGUUCGGACUGGAGUCUGCAACCCGACUCCACGAAGUUGGAUUCGCUAGUAAUCGCGCAUCAGCCAUGGCGCGGUGAAUACGUUCCCGGGCCUUGUACACACCGCCCGUCAAGCCAUGGGAGCCGGGGGCGCCUGAAGUCCGGGACCGCGAGGACCGGCCUAGGGCGAAACUGGUGACUGGGGCUAAGUCGUAACAAGGUACC
rnacentral:rRNA from 1 species